rnacentral:rRNA from 1 species
GAUGAACGCUGGCGGCGUGCCUAAUACAUGCAAGUCGAACGAAACUUCUUUAUCACCGAGUGCUUGCACUCACCGAUAAAGAGUUGAGUGGCGAACGGGUGAGUAACACGUGGGCAGCCUGCCCAAAAGAGGGGGAUAACACUUGGAAACAGGUGCUAAUACCGCAUAACCAUAGUUACCGCAUGGUAACUAUGUAAAAGGUGGCUAUACUACCGCUUUUGGAUGGGCCCGCGGCGCAUUAGCUAGUUGGUAGGGUAAAGGCUUACCAAGGCAAUGAUGCGUAGCCGAAUUGAGAGGUUGAUCGGCCACAUUGGGACUGAGACACGGCCCAAACUCCUACGGGAGGCAGCAGUAGGGAAUCUUCCACAAUGGGCGAAAGCCUGAUGGAGCAACGCCGCGUGGGUGAAGAAGGUCUUCGGAUCGUAAAACCCUGUUGUUAGAGAAGAAAGUGCGUGAGAGUAACUGUUCACGUUUCGACGGUAUCUAACCUGAAAGCCACUGCUAACUACGUG